UACAGAGGAUGCAAGCGUUAUCCGGAAUGAUUGGGCGUAAAGCGUCUGUAGGUGGCUUUUUAAGUCCGCCGUCAAAUCCCAGGGCUCAACUCUGGACAGGCGGUGGAAACUACCAAGCUGGAGUACGGUAGGGGCAGAGGGAAUUUCCGGUGGAGCGGUGAAAUGCGUAGAGAUCCGGAGGAACACCGAAGGCGAAGGCAGUCUCCUGGCAAGUUACUGACGCUCAGGUGCGAAAGCUAGGGGAGCGAACAGG
rnacentral:rRNA from 1 species